UACGUAGGGGGCAAGCGUUGUCCGGAUUUAUUGGGCGUAAAGAGCGUGUAGGCGGCCUGACAGGUCUGCUGUGAAAACUCGAGGCUCAACCUCGAGAUGUCGGCGGAAACCGUCUGGCUAGAGUCCGGAAGAGGAGAGUGGAAUUCCUGGUGUAGCGGUGAAAUGCGCAGAUAUCAGGAAGAACACCUAUGGCGAAGGCAGCUCUCUGGGACGGUAUUGACGCUGAGACGCGAAAGCGUGGGGAGCAAACAGG
rnacentral:rRNA from 1 species